GACGAACGCUGGCGGCGUGCUUAACACAUGCAAGUCGAACGGAAAGGCCUCUUUCGGGGGGUACUCGAGUGGCGAACGGGUGAGUAACACGUGAGUAACCUGCCCUUGACUUUGGGAUAACUGCAGGAAACUGGGGCUAAUACCGGAUAGGAGCUCCUGCUGCAUGGUGGGGGUUGGAAAGUUUCGGCGGUUGGGGAUGGACUCGCGGCGUAUCAGCUUGUUGGUGGGGUAGUGGCUUACCAAGGCUUUGACGGGUAGCCGGCCUGAGAGGGUGACAGGCCACAUUGGGACUGAGAUGCGGCCCCGACUCCUACGGGAGGCAGCAGUGGGGAAUAUUGCACAAUGGGUGGAAGCCUGAUGCAGCAACGCCGUGUGCGGGAUGACGGCCUUCGGGUUGUAAACCGCUUUCGCUCAUGACGAAGCUUUGUGUGACGGUAGUGGGUAAAGAAGCACCGGCUAACUACGUG
rnacentral:rRNA from 1 species